rnacentral:rRNA from 1 species
GACGAACGCUGGUGGCGUGCCUAAUACAUGCAAGUCGAACGCAGUGGGGACGGGUGAGUAACACGUGGGUAACCUCCCAUCAGACGGGAUAACCCUUGGAAACAGGUGCUAAACCGAUACUGAUGUAUCGACCCGCUGUGCAAUAGCUAGUUGGUGAGGUAACGGCUCACCAAGUCCACGAUGCCUAGCCGGCCUGCGAGGGUGAUCGGCCACACUGGGACUGAGACACGGCCCAGACUCCUACGGGAGGCAGCAGUAGGGAAGCUUCGGCAAUGGACGAAAGUCUGACCGAGCAACGCCGCGUGAGUGAAGAAGGUUUUCGGAUCGUAAAACUCUGUUGUUAGAGAAGCGGUAUCUAACCAGAAAGCCACGGCUAACUACGUGCCAGCAGCCGCGGUAAUAC